GCAGUAGCCACGGGAAUACAGAGGGUGCGAGCGUUAAUCGGAUUUACUGGGCGUAAAGCGUGCGUAGGCGGCUUUUUAAGUCGGAUGUGAAAUCCCUGAGCUUAACUUAGGAAUUGCAUUCGAUACUGGGAAGCUAGAGUAUGGGAGAGGAUGGUAGAAUUCCAGGUGUAGCGGUGAAAUGCGUAGAGAUCUGGAGGAAUACCGAUGGCGAAGGCAGCCAUCUGGCCUAAUACUGACGCUGAGGUACGAAAGCAUGGGGAGCAAACAGGAUUAGAUACCCGUGUAGUCCCUGUCUCUUAUAC
rnacentral:rRNA from 1 species